UUACCGAGUGCGGGCCCUCGCGGCCCAACCUCCCACCCUUGUCUCUCUACACCUGUUGCUUUGGCGGGCCCACCGGGGCCACCUGGUCGCCGGGGGACGCACGUCCCCGGGCCCGCGCCCGCCGAAGCGCUCUGUGAACCCUGAUGAAGAUGGGCUGUCUGAGUACGAUGAAAAUUGUCAAAACUUUCAACAAUGGAUCUCUUGGUUCCGGCAUCGAUGAAGAACGCAGCGAAAUGCGAUAAGUAAUGUGAAUUGCAGAAUUCCGUGAAUCAUCGAAUCUUUGAACGCACAUUGCGCCCCCUGGCAUUCCGGGGGGCAUGCCUGUCCGAGCGUCAUUUCUGCCCUCAAGCACGGCUUGUGUGUUGGGUGUGGUCCCCCCGGGGACCUGCCCGAAAGGCAGCGGCGACGUCCGUUUGGUCCUCGAGCGUAUGGGGCUCUGUCACUCGCUCGGGAAGGACCUGCGGGGGUUGGUCACCACCAUAUUUUACCACGGUUGACCUCGGAUCAGGUAGGAGUUACCCGCUGAACUUAAGCAUAUCAAUAAGCGGAGGAAAAGAAACCAACCGGGAUUGCCUCAGUAACGGCGAGUGAAGCGGCAAGAGCUCAAAUUUGAAAUCUGGCCCCCUUGGGGUCCGAGUUGUAAUUUGCAGAGGAUGCUUCGGGUGCGGUCCCCGUCUAAGUGCCCUGGAACGGGCCGUCAUAGAGGGUGAGAAUCCCGUCUGGGAUGGGCGGCCGCGCCCGUGUGAAGCUCCUUCGACGAGUCGAGUUGUUUGGGAAUGCAGCUCUAAGCGGGUGGUAAAUUUCAUCUAAAGCUAAAUACUGGCCGGAGACCGAUAGCGCACAAGUAGAGUGAUCGAAAGAUGAAAAGCACUUUGAAAAGAGAGUUAAACAGCACGUGAAAUUGUUGAAAGGGAAGCGUUGUCCACCAGACUCGCCCGGGGGGGUUCAGCCGGCACGUGUGCCGGUGUACUCCUCUCCGGGCGGGCCAGCAUCGGUUUGGGCGGCUGGUGAAAGGCCCCGGGAAUGUAACACCCUCCGGGGUGCCUUAUAGCCCGGGGUGCCAUACAGCCAGCCUGGACCGAGGCCCGCGCUUCGGCGAGGAUGCUGGCGUAAUGGUGGUCAACGGCCCGUCUUGAAACACGGACCAAGGAGUCUAACAUCUAUGCGAGUGUUCGGGUGUCAAACCCGUCCGCGCAGUGAAAGCGAACGGAGGUGGGAGCCCCUCGGGGUGCACCAUCGACCGAUCCUGAUGUCUUCGGAUGGAUUUGAGUAAGAGCAUAGCUGUUGGGACCCGAAAGAUGGUGAACUAUGCCUGAAUAGGGCGAAGCCAGAGGAAACUCUGGUGGAGGC
rnacentral:sRNA from 2 species